UACGUAGGGUGCAAGCGUUGUCCGGAAUUAUUGGGCGUAAAGAGCUCGUAGGCGGUCUGUCGCGUCGGCUGUGAAAUCCCGAGGCUCAACCUCGGGUCUGCAGUCGAUACGGGCAAACUAGAGUAUUGCAGGGGAGACUGGAAUUCCUGGUGUAGCGGUGGAAUGCGCAGAUAUCAGGAGGAACACCGAUGGCGAAGGCAGGUCACUGGCCCGAUACUGACGCUGAGGCGCGAAAGCGUGGGGAGCAAACAGG
rnacentral:rRNA from 1 species